GCGGGUGUGGCGGAAUUGGUAGACGCGCUAGAUUUAGGUUCUAGUACCGCAAGGUGUGGAGGUUCAAGUCCUCUCACCCGCACCA
rnacentral:tRNA from 1 species